rnacentral:siRNA from 1 species
UAAAACAAAUGGUCUAAUUGGGC